GGUUUUACCUCUUCUUCUUCGACUACAACUGAACAAAGAUCUCUUCUUCUUUGGCUACAACUGAAUAAAGAUUGUAUCUACAUGGACUACAAAGUUCUACAAAGUACUGAUUACUACUCUUAAUUACUAACCAUCUCUUCUUCUUUGGCUACAACUGAACAAAGAUUGUAUCUACCUGGACUAUAACAGAGGUUGGUUUAGAACAAACAUGACGAACAGACACAUUUAGGCUAAUUCAGGUGAAAGCUUCUUCAAUUCCAGCUUCACCAGAGACCCAGCUCUCGGCCUACAGGAUCAUGGAAGGAACUAGCGCUAGUGUUACUGACUGGACUCAACUCCGGCACCACCGUUGCUUCUGUCCGUCAGCAAUUUGUCGGAGAUUAAUGAGGAAGAAAUUGAGUCGCUGUCAGUGGAGAAGAUAUUCUAUUUACAUAAGGAUGGUGCGUGCAGCCGCAUGUGUGUCUAAGAUGUAGCAAACCUUGGGCUAUAAUGGUGAGCUUGCAGGAGAUCCAGGAAGCAAGACGACAACGGUAGCGAGGUGGAAGCAUCGGUGGAGAGCCCCCGUCUCCACCAUGCCAGCUCGCCUCCGUCGCUCAACACCCUGGUGGAGCUCUCUCCGCAGCAGCCCGCCUCAGCUUCGCCUGCGCCUGGCACGGGGAUGGCACGCCCGCGCAUCACACCUCGUCGAGCCAGUGCAUGGCCUUCGUCGUGAGACAACCUGGUGGAGCUACUCUUCGCAGCGGGCUGCCCCGUCUCUGGUGGUGCCAGGCACGGGAACGGCGUUACCCGCCCAUGACACCUCGAUUUCUUCCAGUGGAGU
rnacentral:lncRNA from 1 species